UUUAAUUAAUCAUUUGGGGGAUUCACAACGCUGUCGCAAGUGUCGUAUUGCUGUAUGUCGUAAACUUUAAAAGCUUAAAUAAAUGUUUAGAGAACUUGAAACCACAACCAACUAUUUUUUAA